GUACGUAGUUCUGUUGCUCUCCCAUUUUCAUUGUUUUUUGUUGUAAAAGUGAAUAUAAGUUACUUAAACAUAUUUGUAAAUCUGGUGUAGUCACAGUGUUCAUUUGUUGAACUGUUGGGUUAUUUAAUUUCAUGCAUCAACUUGCUAAUUAGAGGAGAAGCUGUGGUCUGUGUGUACUGCAAGGCUGCUACGUAGCUUGCUGCGCUAGAGUGUACUGUUGAGACAGGUUGUUAACCGGAGACGGGAAGUGACUUUUCUCAUGGUGCUACAGAGCACAGACUAUGUAUGAGAAAACUGAACACCUGUGAAUGUUUCUUCUCCAUAAUGCAGGUAUGUGAGUUUAUGCAAGUUACUAUUGGUAUUAUUUCUAUUUAUUUUUGCUAGAAAUUAUUUUAAGUUGAUUUAAUUUGCAUUGUGGAGCACUGGAGUCAGUGCUUUGCCGGUCUGGCUGUACAAGUACUCCAUUCCCAGCAAUUCACCUGCAAAGGGACUGUAGAAAAGAAAAGGACUGUCAUACUACUGUAAAACAGAAACUAGUAACCCAUAUGUAUGCCAUACCUGGAAUAAACCUGUUUAAGUGGAGACGGAAGGACUCAAGCGAGGUAGAGCCACGGGCACACCUGUAGCAGCACAGCUCCACACCGCCUUUGUUCAGGGUGCCUGUCUUUGUGUAGAGCUGGAAGUCCUCUGGGUCAUGGAUACAGGCCACACGUUUCUCCUGCUCCUGCCAUAUGUGCUGGAUUCGUUGGUGGUCCAGCAGAGGAACGCCUAGUGUCCUUCCCACUUUCGCUGUCGAACAGACUGAUCAAUGACCCAAUCAGUCCGGUGGUCUCCUCCACCCCUCUGGUCCUGCUCCUGCAGUGCCGUGCCAACUCCCUCCGCCUAAUUUGAGUGGUCACCGCCUCUUCCGAGAUGUGGCCAAUCCUACGUGCUGACAGCUCACCCUCCUUGGCCCGGCGAAGAGCAGCAACUGUCACACCGUGUCCUGCUACGCGGUCCAACACCCCCAUCUAGCGGCCUCUUGACGCCACUGUUCCUCAUUCUCCCGACCCACCGGCCGUCAAUCUACAAUAUCCACUUCCUACUUCAGCCAGGGAUCUACCAUCCAGCCAGAGCCAGUUCGUCGUUUACAACUUCCAUUCUCCGUCCAUCACUCUGCCUACCUGUCGCCGAACCCCUACUUGCCUGCCUGUCGCCGAACCCCUGCUUGCCUGCCUGUCGCCGAACCCCUGCCUGCCUGACUGUCGCCGAACCCCUGCCUGUCUGACUGCCUGCCUGUCGCCAAACCCUCGCCUGUCUGACUACCCGCCUGUCGCCGAACCCUCGCCUGCCUGACUACCGCUUGCUUAGCACCAGCUUGUCAUCUACCCCGUGUCCCAAUAAAUCCCCCUUCCUUUUACUUUGUCUCUGCCUCCCUGUGUCCAGCGCUUGGGUUCCAUCAUCCUGUCCCUUAACAGCAACCCACUCAAAAGUGCAUGUGGACAGGCGUUCCAUUAAAAUGCCAUAGAGGGGUUGAGAUUCUGUUAUGACACCUGCAGCAAACCGGUGCAUGAAAUGCCAUAUAUCGAGCCGCACUUGACACCUGUCCCACGCAUUAUCUGGUUCCUUCGGUGGUGGAAGCUGGUCAGGCGCCACAGAAAUGGGGUUGGUUGAAGCCACUCCCUGAGAAAGGAUACUGAUCUCCUGGUUCUUAUGAUGCCGUUGAAACCUGAGAGAAGAUAAUUUGUGUUAGAUAUGUAUUAAUUCGAGAACUAUUCAGUCACUUUGCGGUAAAUCAUUUAUUAAACAGCAUUCUGUCGAGCUGUGUGUGUGUCCAUGUGUGGUUGUGUGAGUGGGUGCGCAUGUACGAGUAAGCGUGUAUGUGGUGAAGAUGUCAUACAUAUGAUUCUUUACUUGCACUUGCACUCUUCAAUUGAUUCCCAAUGGACUUUUAUAUAACAACCUGUGUACGCCCCAGAAACGGCCCAUUAAAACAACGGUAAUGAACAACAACGUUACCGUUUGCGAGCGCAAUGUCAACACAAACGGAUGUAGCAGAAUUUUUUUCCAAAAAACC
ensembl:lncRNA